rnacentral:lncRNA from 1 species
CCCUCUUCUCACUCCCUUGUCCUGAUAUUUUUACCUCCACUCACUCUCUCUCCUCUCCCCUCACUCUCUCUUUCUUUCCUUAACUCUCUCUCUCCUCUCUACUCCUCCUCGGGCGGCGGCAGUGGCGGUGGUGCGGCUCGGCCGCCUCGGGCUCUGGCCUGGAGCUAGCGGCAGCGGGGGCGGUGACCUCGGGCGAAGAGUGGGCGGCGGCGCCACCGCCAUCUCCUCCUCACCGCCGCCACAGACGACGACGAGGAGGCGACGGGCCAGAUCCGGUGGCGGCAGGCCUCGUCCCGCUGGGAUCCGGCGGUGGUGGGCCUCGUCCCGCCCGGAUCCGGAGGCGGGAGUGGGCGGCGGGAGCGAGGGCGGCCGGCGGCGGGAGCGGGGGAUCCGGCGGCGGCGCGGCGAUGACGACCUCCCCGCGAUGGCGGCCUCCCUUCCCCGACCUCCCAUACGCGGCGGCGGCCUCCCUUCCCCGACGGCGGCGGGCACAGCGAGGACUAAUUUGUUUGUGUGAUGCCCUAUGCUAAUGUGCAGCCAUGUGCACAUUAUUUCUAUUGCAUCAUGUGCAGCCAGUUUGUAGAUCCAUUGAUAUUUUGUUCUUGUAUCAUGUUCUUAUUAAUACUGGGAUAAUUUGCAGAGAAAAAUUCUAAAUUGCAGGAUUGGGAGCUACUACUGCGUCACAACAGGUAAUCUCAUCAAAUGCUACUGGAGAUAUGGGUUAGUUAGAUGAAUCUGAUUUGUGCGAUGGGGUUAUUCUGGAAGGGAGGCAAUGAAUUCUUAGUAGGUUUGUCAACUGUAGAGACGAUGUAAAGAGAAAUCUUAGUAGUCUAAGCCAAGUUAGACCUGAAAACUUUGAAUUGAUAUAUCCUUACCCUUCUUGAGAACUAUCAAUAAUCAAAUAAAUAUGCAAUUAAGGAUAGUACAUGGUUUGUAAACGCAAGUUUUUGUCUCAUUUUCCCAUAUCCCUACAUACUUUAUAAAUAAGGGUAUUUCAUGGCCCUACUUGCCAAGUUCAUGAGCUAAAACAUGUACAAAAGCUGAUAUAUUUGCUCACUUUGCAAAAGGAAACCUAGAGGGUGAAGGUUGCUGAGAGGGGUGGUACUGUGAUGGCAGACAGACUAUGGUUCUUGGUGCUCACAAUCUGCAAGGUACAUUUUUUUGGCAACUCUUGUGAUUGGCAUGUUGUUCUCUAUGCUGUGCACUUAUAAAUGUCUCUCUACCUUUGAAGUAUAUAUUAAAAUGGUUCUCCUUACAUUUAAGUAAUCCAUUUACCACUUGUCAUUUGUGUGUUGAAGGCAUUUUUUUCACUCAUCAGUAUUCUAAAAUGCUAACUGUCAAGUUCACUCAGCAGUGUGAGACAUGCCUAUUCUCUACAAUUUUUCUUUUGGUUCCAUGUGCUGACCUUUUCAGCUUAAGAUGCCAUUUUAGUCUACCUGACUAAUUACUACAGAGGUCCCUCCAAUACUAGGAGUAGCAGGAUUAUGCAAUGUUCUUUUCUUCCACAAAUAACUUGAAUGAACAUAAUUAUUCCUCUUCCUGCAUAUAGCUCUGAAAUAUUGUUUUCACUUGAUUGCAGAUGGAACUAGGCUGGAGACUUCUUGGUGCUCAAGAUUCACUUGUUUAUUUUGUUAUGUAGGAGAGGUGUAAGAACUUAGACUGUACUACUGUUUCUAUGGCAUCAUGUGUACCUAGUUGGUGGAUCGAUUCAUAGUGUUCUUCUAUCAUGUUCUUGUUAACACUGAGAAUCUGUAGCUAAUGUUCACUGAUUAUUAUGUGGUACCAAUUUGUUUGCAUGAAACAUGCUUAUUGAUCUGUUGGUUGCC